AUUGAACGCUGGCGGCAGGCCUAACACAUGCAAGUCGAGCGGAUGACGGGAGCUUGCUCCUUGAUUCAGCGGCGGACGGGUGAGUAAUGCCUAGGAAUCUGCCUGGUAGUGGGGGACAACGUUUCGAAAGGAACGCUAAUACCGCAUACGUCCUACGGGAGAAAGCAGGGGACCUUCGGGCCUUGCGCUAUCAGAUGAGCCUAGGUCGGAUUAGCUAGUUGGUGAGGUAAUGGCUCACCAAGGCUACGAUCCGUAACUGGUCUGAGAGGAUGAUCAGUCACACUGGAACUGAGACACGGUCCAGACUCCUACGGGAGGCAGCAGUGGGGAAUAUUGGACAAUGGGCGAAAGCCUGAUCCAGCCAUGCCGCGUGUGUGAAGAAGGUCUUCGGAUUGUAAAGCACUUUAAGUUGGGAGGAAGGGCAGUAAGUUAAUACCUUGCUGUUUUGACGUUACCGACAGAAUAAGCACCGGCUAACUUCGUGCCAGCCGCCGCUGUAAUAC
rnacentral:rRNA from 1 species